UGACCGUAGCUCAGUUGAUAGAGCAUUGGACAUUUGGACUAGUAUCCCAAAGGUCGCGGGGUUCGAUUCCCACCAUGGUCAG